GACGAACGCUGGCGGCGUGCCUAAUACAUGCAAGUCGAACGCAGUGGGGACGGGUGAGUAACACGUGGGUAACCUCCCAUCAGAGGGGAUAACACUUGGAAACAGGUGCUAAACCGAUACUGAUGGAUGGACCCGCGGUGCAUUAGCUAGUUGGUGAGGUAACGGCUCACCAAGGCCACGAUGCAUAGCGGCCCUGUGAGUUGAAACGGCCACACGGGAACGAAGACACGGCCCAGAGUCCGACGGGAGGGACGAGUAGGGAAUCUUCGGAAAUGGAGGAAAGUCUGCAAGAGAAAGGCCGCGUGAGGGAAGAGGGUUUUCGGAUCGAAAAACUCUUUUGUGAGAGAAGCGGUAUCGACCCAAAAAGCGCCGGCUAACUACGUGCCAGCAGCCGCGGUAAUUC
rnacentral:rRNA from 1 species